rnacentral:rRNA from 1 species
CUAUACAUGACUCUGCGCAUAUCAAUAAGCGGAGGAAAAGAGGGCUACUACCUACGCUUAGGAUGUUGAAGAUAUGCGCGACACGACUCUAUACAUGACUCUGCGCAUAUCAAUAAGCGGAGGAAAAGAAACUAACAAGGAUUCCCUUAGUAACGGCGAGUGAAGCGGGAAGAGCUCAAAUUUGAAAUCUUCAAGGUUCUACCUUGACGAAUUGUAGUUUAUAGAAGUGUUUUCUGUUAGUAGAGUGGCAAAAGUUCUUUGGAAUAGGACAUCAUAGAGGGUGAGAAUCCCGUAUUUGGUCAUUCCUUCUAGCUUUGUGAUACACUUUCAACGAGUCGGAUUGUUUGGGAAUGCAGUCCAAAAUGGGUGGUAAAUUUCAUCUAAAGCUAAAUAUUGGCGAGAGACCGAUAGCGAACAAGUACCGUGAGGGAAAGAUGAAAAGAACUUUGAAAAGAGAGUUAAACAGUACGUGAAAUUGUCAAAAGGGAAGCGUUUGACACCAGUGUUGUUUUUCCGAAAAUCAAUUACGAAUGUUUUGUUUUUGAGGAGUUAUGACUUCAUCGGCUUGCUCCUUUCUUUACGAAACUUUCUUAAUGCACUUUUCGGUUAACAAGUCAACAUCAAUUUCUUUUGUUGUAAAAGGGUAUGAGGAAGGUGGCUUUCUUUUCGGAGAAAGUGUUUAUAGCCUUGUGCCUCUGCAAUCGGAGAGAUUGAGGUCUGCAGCGUAGAUCCUUCGGGGUUAGAUACGUUUGUGCUAAGUUAUAGCUUUUCAUAGACAACUUGUUGACUAUGUUUAGUCUUGUAGCUUACUCGCUGACGCUAUUUUACCUACGCUUAGGAUGUUGAAGAUAUGCGCGACACG